rnacentral:lncRNA from 12 species
GUAAAGCCCAAGGACAUGGGUGUGCAGAGCAACUUGGGAGAAGGCUGUUUGUUGUCAUUAAUUUUUUGAGUCUUCAUAGUGCUAUGAUGCAGAGAAGGUCACCUAUUUUCUAACUCUGUUUUCUUAAUGGGGAAAAAAUAUAGGACAAUAAGAGAUCUCGGUGUCCAGAUGUAUUUCCCCAUCUCCUUUAAGUUUCCAGAAACCUGUGAUGGAAGAAGACAGGUAAAAUGUGCUUGCUUCUACCAGGAAUGUGAGAGUAAACAGCUCAUUCUUGUAACUGGAACUAUGUAGACCUGAAAUAAUUGAUUUUUGCAUUAUGCCCCAUUGGACUUCAGGUCCUACCAUCUUUACCAUCAUGAUCCUCUUAACUGUGAGGAUCAUUGUAACUGUGACCACUGCUAUCUUCACUGAGGUUUCUUUAUGCUCCAGCCUUUUGGUUCCAAGAAGCCAAGAGUUGACUCUGUAGACAAUAGAAAAACAUGGAAUCAUAGAGAAGGAUGAGAGAGAAGAAUGCCCCAUUUGCCUGGUAUCCAUACUGUAAAGGUUCUAAUGCAUCAGUGAGACCCAACCUUUCC